GGCUUAGUGAGGCCUCAGGAUCUGCUUAGAGAAGGGGGCAACUCCAUCUCAGAGCGGAGAAUCUGGUCAAACUUGGUCAUUUAGAGGAACUAAAAGUCGUAACAAGGUUUCCGUAGGUGAACCUGCGGAAGGAUCAUUAGAGAAAUCUAUAUGAAUGAAGUUAGAGGACGUCUAAAGAUACUGUAAGAGAGGAUCAGGUUCAAGACCAGCGCUUAAUUGCGCGGUUGCGGCUUGGUUCGCCUUUUGCGGAACAUGUCUUUUCUCGUUGUUAACUCUACUUCAACUUCUACAACACUGUGGAGUUUUCUACACAACUUUUCUUCUUUGGGAAGAUACGUCUUGUGCGUGCUUCCCAGAGGUGACAAACACAAACAACUUUUUAUUAUUAUAAACCAGUCAAAACCAAUUUCGUUAUGAAAUUAAAAAUAUUUAAAACUUUCAACAACGGAUCUCUUGGUUCUCGCAUCGAUGAAGAACGCAGCGAAAUGCGAUACGUAAUGUGAAUUGCAGAAUUCCGUGAAUCAUCGAAUCUUUGAACGCACAUUGCGCCCCUUGGUAUUCCAGGGGGCAUGCCUGUUUGAGCGUCAUUUCCUUCUCAAACAAUCAUGUUUGGUAGUGAGUGAUACUCUGUCAAGGGUUAACUUGAAAUUGCUAGCCUGUUAUUUGGUUGUGAUUUUGCUGGCUUGGAUGACUUUGUCCAGUCUAGCUAAUACCGAAUUGUCGUAUUAGGUUUUACCAACUUCGGCAGACUGUGUGUUGGCUCGGGCGCUUUAAAGACUUUGUCGUAAACGAUUUAUCGUUUGUUUGAGCUUUUCGCAUACGCAAUCCGGCGAACAAUACUCUCAAAGUUGAGGAGGAAAAGAAACCAACCGGGAUUGCCUUAGUAACGGCGAGUGAAGCGGCAAAAGCUCAAAUUUGAAAUCUGGUACCUUCGGUGCCCGAGUUGUAAUUUGUAGAAGGUAACUUUGGGGCUGGUCCUUGUCUAUGUUCCUUGGAACAGGACGUCAUAGAGGGUGAGAAUCCCGUGUGGCGAGGAUCCCAGUUCUUUGUAAAGUGCUUUCGAAGAGUCGAGUUGUUUGGGAAUGCAGCUCUAAGUGGGUGGUAAAUUCCAUCUAAAGCUAAAUAUUGGCGAGAGACCGAUAGCGAACAAGUACAGUGAUGGAAAGAUGAAAAGAACUUUGAAAAGAGAGUGAAAAAGUACGUGAAAUUGUUGAAAGGGAAGGGCAUUUGAUCAGACAUGGUGUUUUGCGCCCUCUGCUCCUUGUGGGUGGGGGAAUCUCGCAGCUCACUGGGCCAGCAUCAGUUUUGGCGGCAGGAUAAAUCUGCAGGAAUGUAGCUUGCCUCGGUAAGUGUUAUAUCCUGUAGAAAUACUGCCAGCUGGGACUGAGGACUGCGACUUUACGUCAAGGAUGCUGGCAUAAUGGUUAUAUGCCGCCCGUCUUGAAACACGGACCAAGGAGUCUAACGUCUAUGCGAGUGUUUGGGUGUAAAACCCGUACGCGUAAUGAAAGUGAACGUACGUUGGGGCCUCGCAAGA
rnacentral:rRNA from 1 species